rnacentral:rRNA from 1 species
CCCUUAGAUGUUCUGGGCCGCACGCGUGCUACACUGAGUGGAUCAGCGGGUCAGGUUGCGCGAAAGCGUUUCCUAAUCUUUAAAUCCGCUCGUGAUGGGGAUUGACGGUUGCAAUUUUCUGUCAUGAACGAGGAAUACCUUGUAAGCGCGGGUCAUCAUCCCGCGCUGAAUACGUCCCUGCCCUUUGUACACACCGCCCGUCGCUCCUACCGAUUGGAUGAUCCGGUGAGCUAUUCGGACCUUCGCUUCGUCGAUUUUCGGCUUUGUGAGGGAAAGUCUCGCGAACCUUAUCAUCUAGAGGAAGGAGAAGUCGUAACA